rnacentral:tRNA from 1 species
GGUGCGUCCAACCAACUGCCCUACAGACCCAAUCGUCUUCGCAAUGAAUCAAGCAAUUCGUGUGGGAACUUGUGG